rnacentral:snRNA from 1 species
AUACCUUUCUCCUCCUUUUGGCUAAGAUCAAGUGUAGUAUCUGUUCUUAUCAGUUUCAUAUCUGAUACUUGGUUCAUAGAACCACAUGAUUUUCUAGGGGGAGGGCCCACUCACAAUAGCUUGCUAUUGGGGCUAUCAGGCAUCGCUUGUGUGUUGCACUACAGCACCAGCCUAGUGCAACCCAA